GGCUCUAUGUUUUUCUUAGGAUACUAGCUCCCUUACAGAGAAUGCUUCUUUGAUGGUUGAACAAGAUCUUCUUCAAUCUUCAAGACAAUCUCAAGAAGGAAGAACAUAAAGCGUGGGAGGAAGAAGACUUGGAGAAAAGAGAACCUUGCUUUCUUUCUUUCUAGAAUUUUUCCAUGCCCCCAAAGAGAACCCACACCCAA
rnacentral:lncRNA from 1 species